GCUUAACUAUUGUUUCCAUAGAAACAACUUUUUUUUAAAUACCAUGAGAUAUUGUAUUUAAGAGAUAUUCUAGCUCAGUAUAUGUUGUUUCCAUAUAUCAUCAUCUUAACAAGCACACAUUCUCUGCUGCCAACAGUACCAAUUUGUCAACCAAGCAACAAAUAUUCCUUGGUAAUCUGCUAUCAGAUAACAGUUUUCUCGUUGGCAUUUUUAUGAAUUAAAGCUUUCAAGGCUUAAUGUUUUGGUCAAGUUUCAGAUUUGUUUAGCAUAAUCCUGUACUACAUAUUAACAAAUGUUUGGUGUGUCUAGUUCAUCUCUCUCACUAUGAAGAUGGCUACACACUAUCAGCAAUGCACCCCUAUGAUAUACAAGUCUUCAUUGCCAAGUCACUCUGCCAAACAGUGUGUACACCUUUCUUGCAGUGGUAGUACUUUACUGUACUUCAAUCACUUCAGGAGUCUGGAUAUGUCAGCCCAAGGCCAAGGAGAUCAAGUUUGUGUCCAAGGUUACUUAGGUAAUUCUCUAAGAACAAUAGGUUUUUUUUUUAAAGACACACACUACAUGUUGCUGAUCUGUGGGUUAGUGGCUCAAUCAUUGUGCACUGAUUCUCCACUGAUGCCUUGAUUGCCAUAAGUUUAUCUACUGAUCUACAGAUCAAGGGACUAAAUGGUCUAUUAAACAUGAGGUCAAGGAAAAAGGAUGAACAUUUCAAGGCUGCAGGAGGAACAUUAAACAUCUCUCUCACUGUGAAAAGAUUCUACCGAUCUACAAAUGAUCAACAUGUUUUAUCUAAAGUUCAUCUGCCAUUUCUUCAAAUGGAGCCAUAGUCAGAAUAAGAUUCUUUUUGUUCUUCCUUAGGUUCAAAUGUAUCAGUUGUUUUUGUUGACAGAUAUCAAGGUACAGAAAUAAGAAUCUAAUUUAGAGUUUUUUAAAGCUUGAUUAGUCAUAAUAUUUGCACUAUUAUUUCCAAUAUGUGCCAGAGUGUCUGCUAAAUGUAACUAGUAUGAUUAAAAACAUGGUCAUUGCAAAGUCUAACAUAUGGACAAGUAGGAUGCUUGGGGCUUGAUUCAGUGAAAGAAUGUUGGACAAGCAGAAGUGUUAUGGAGUGUGUGUGUUUUUAUGGUGACUGUGGUAAGAGGUAAGCGAUUGGAUGUGAAUGAUGCAAAAGUGGCAUUGUCGUCACUGGGUCUUAGUUAGGGGAGACGACUCCAGAAUGUAAGACUGAAAGGUUGUGUUAUUGUAGUGAGUUAGAUUGUAAGAAAUUUUAUUACUUAAGUCUACUACAUUUAUUUCAUGUGAUCACAAGUAUUAUAAAUGUUAUAUUUAGUUUUGUUCACAAGGAAGUUGUUCAAGUUCUUAUUAGCUAAGAUAUAUUAUGCCUUCAACAGUUUAGUUGCCUACCAGCAGUUUGGUGCUACAAGUCAACAACAGUCAGACUAAAUUAAAUAAAGCCAUGUCUAUUUCUACAUGAUUUUGUUGCUACUAACCUGGUGUUACUAACAACUAACUUGAAAAGGGAGAGGGGAAUUAUCAUCUUAUUCAUGCUCUAACUCUUCAAAUUCUAUAGAAUUGCAGAGAACUGACAUGAAAUAAAACAUUAACAAAAUGUGUAUUAUAAUUGUCAUUUUUCCUCUACUUAGCAUUUUUUUUUUCUCCUAGAU